rnacentral:rRNA from 1 species
UACGGUAGGGGGCAAGCGUUGUUCGGAGUUACUGGGCGUAAAGGGUGUGUAGGCGGUUCUUUAAGUUUGGUGUGAAAUCUCCCGCUCAACCGGGAGGGUGCGCCGAAUACUGAGGGACUAGAGUGCGGGAGAGGAAAGUGGAAUUCCUGGUGUAGCGGUGAAAUGCGUAGAUAUCAGGAGGAACACCGGUGGUGUAGACGGCUUUCUGGACCGUAACUGACGCUGGAGACACGAAAGCGUGGGUAGCAAACAGG